CUGGCUCAGGAUGAACGCUAGCUACAGGCUUAACACAUGCAAGUCGAGGGGCAGCAUGACGGUAGCUUGCUACUGUGAUGGCGACCGGCGCACGGGUGAGUAACGCGUAUCCAACCUUCCCACAAAUAGGGAAUAGCCCGGUGAAAAUCGAAUUAAUACCUUAUGUGGUCAUAAGAAGACAUCUGAUUAUGAUUAAAGAUUUAUCGUUUGUGGAUGGGGGAUGCGUCUGAUUAGGUAGACGGCGGGGUAACGGCCCACCGUGCCGACGAUCAGUAGGGGUUCUGAGAGGAAGGUCCCCCACAUUGGAACUGAGACACGGUCCAAACUCCUACGGGAGGCAGCAGUGAGGAAUAUUGGUCAAUGGGCGAGAGCCUGAACCAGCCAAGUAGCGUGCCAGGAUGACGGCCCUAUGGGUUGUAAACUGCUUUUAUGCGGGAAUAAAACGAGGGACGUGUCCUUCUUUGCAGGUACCGCAUGAAUAAGGAGCGGCUAAUUCCGUGCCAGCCGCGGC
rnacentral:rRNA from 1 species